UGGCAUCCCUCUAAGUGGGUACCAGCAUUCAUGUAUCAACACAGAAGGUUAGACUGAUAGAAAAAAAAAAAAAUCUGCACCAGCGUUGCACAUACAGUAGGUGCUUUUCCACUGGAGCUGUUUCCUUCUAGCAGUCUAGCUGCACGGAUAGACUUGCCAACAUUUGGUGCUAUCCCUGCCUACAGCACCAAGAGUGAAAACAACCCUGCACCCCAGAAAACUGAAAAUAUCUUCAUUGACUUGAAGACGCUGGAAAAUGGAAAGCAAUAUUCUUUGGAGGAUCAUAACCUCAAACAUAAAGCAAUUAAUUCACAGCAGAAUGUAAGCUGGAUCAUUCAAGCCAUUUUCCCCUGAGAGUACUGGAGACCUGGUGUCAGGAUUUGACUACAAGUAGAAAAGUUGUUGUUAUUUUCAUAUGUAUAAAAUGGUUUUCUGGAUUCAUUUCCCAAGCUUCUGAGAAAGUGAGAGGCACAGCCAAAUUCAGCUCAACUGUAAAACAAUGUUGAAUUCAGAUUACACUGCAAUGAUUCUAUCCUGAAAACAGUUGCCCAUUUGAUGUUUUAAAUACAAUUUAAAUUUUUUUCCUGAUAAUGAAUGAGCAAUCCUAUUACUUCUAGCUGAGAACUAUCUGUAAGUUAUUUAUGUUUCUUAUUUUUAUAAAAACCCAUUUUAAUGUUUUAUUUUUCUCAACGAAUUUCUGCUAUUCUACUUGUGCAGAUGUUUAUGAUAAGAUCUAUGGACAUUUUCCAGGAUGCGGCUUUGCCUAACAAUCACAUAAUCAUAGAAUGGUUUGGGUUGGAAGGUACAUUUAGGAUCACCUAAUUCCAACACCCCUGCUAUAGGCAGGGACACCUUCCAUCAGGUUGCUCAAAGCCCCAUCCAGCUUAGCCUUGAAUGCUUCCAGGGAGGGGGUAUCCAAAGCCUCACUAAGCAACCUGUUCCAGUGUUUCACCACCCACACUGUGACAGUGAAGAAUUCCUUCCUGGUAUCUAGUCUAAAUCUACCCUCUUUCAUUUUAAAACCAUUUCCCUUCAUCCUGUCAUUAUAAAAACUCCCUCCCCAAGCCAAAAUCAAUGUAAAGGUAUUCUUUUGCCAUAAGAUGAGGUGAGGUUAUCACAGAUGUAAGUACAAGAUGAAGUAAACUGUAGUUUCAGUAAUUUCCAUCUCUUUGCAUCUCUUCUGUCUCUCUGAGGAGUUGUGUAAGCCUUAUGGUUUGCCAACUUCCUCAGCCACCAGGCAUCAUCAAAAUCAAUGCUUCAUGCAAUAGCCUUGAGCACAUGGUGUUGUUUUUGGAGGUAACUACUCUCCAAAGCCAUCUCACCUUACAUGGUGUUCAAAGGAAAUCAAGCCGUAUCUUUUGGCAGUCCUGAGUUUUUGUUUCUGUCCUUGGGCUGGCUGAGAACUGGUUUGAAUCCCUGAAUACUUUAAAGCAGCCAUGGCCAGAAGGCACCUGAAAGGUUGGCAAAAAGCCCCUCUUUCUGGCCAGGUUCCCCUCUCAAAAAAUGGAGUGUGUCCUGCUGAGCCCAAUUCUUCUUCCAUUUUCCCUCUGCUGUUCUAGUAACCGUAUAAGUUGACUUUCUAUCCGGCUUUUGUGGCCUUACUGUGAUAUGACUCUUUACACUAUUAAGUGCUGGGAAAAGGUCAUACUGGAUAUAGGUUGCUUGCAAAAUGCUAAAACAAUUAUCAUCAGAAACAGUACUGAAUAUGCAAAUAUUUUUUCAAAUUAGGAAUCUUCCCAUCCCCUUCCUUCCUUCAUUUUUCCUCAGUGAUAUGGCUUGGAAAGUCAGCCAGUAUGUACCUGGCCUUAUUUCAUUUUCUUUGUGAUCAUCUUCAAUUAAGCUGCUGUUUCUUCAGUUCAAUUCUAUAUUACUGCAAUGUAAAUGAGAGAGGAAAAUAUGAAUUUUGCGAAGUAUUCAGAGAUGUACAUUCUGAAUAAUGAAUUAUAAUAAGUGCAGGGCUUAUUCUUGUGUUCAAAAGUUUUAUGUGUGGCUCAGAUUGAAAUUUGAAGUAUCCAGAGAGCCAUGCUUGCUUCUGUGUUCUGCCUCUGGGCCUGUAAAGCAUCUCACUAGAUAAAGUCAUCAAGGUAAAAUUCAUCUCAAAAGGGUACAUUGCUAUGAGUUUUGAAGAUAGCCAUGUAGAGAACAUUUGCUUUCUCCAGCAGAUGGUGACUGGAAUAACCUCUCCCUGUAUCUCUAAGCCCUUGAACAGUGUAAAUACCGCCACUGUGACACAGAAUUGGUAAAACGGUCAAGGAAAUAUACUUGGUGUUACAGCCUGGUCUUUGGAGUACUCUGGACCAGAUCAUGGGAGAUGUUCAAAUGUUGUCUGGAUGUGGUCUUGGGCUCUGCAUGGUCCUGACUGAACACUUGGAUAGAAUCAGGAUGAUCUUCAGACCUUCUAGCCUCCAGAGGUCCCUUCCAACUUAAGCAUAAUGUGAUUCAGAGAUCCAAGAGGCCUUCAAGUAAGGGUGCAAAGAAGAGUACAAUCUGUGAGGUUCAGAAUUCUGAGGUGAGGGUUGGAGCAAAUACUUUAGCAGUGCUACACUUUGAUUUCAAUUUUAUGUGUUAUUCAUUCUCUUUGUGGGGCAUAAGUGAACAUCAGUGAGCUUUUUGCAAAGACUCUGCAAAUGCUCCAACUCUCGUGGAAACUAAAAUCUGGAUUAUGAAAAAGAUAUUUACAGUUUAAUCUUGAAACACAAAUUGGCAAAACAUGGAAGUUGUUUUCUUUCAGGAAACUGCUUAUUGUUUUCAGCACAAAACUUCAUGUAUAAGUGUCCUCUAAUGAAAUUUCAAUUUGAAAAUAGGACAGAGAAUGAACUUAAUUUUCAAGGAAUCAAAAAGGAUAGCAAGAUCACAUUCAAUAUAUUGUUUGUGCUUUUUUCUUUUUCUUUUUAUUUUUCCUCAAAAUUAGACAUUUCAAUUGAUGUGGAAAAAAUAACUACUAAAAAAGGAAAGUAUGAAUUUCAGGGCACUGUUCUGAAAUCCUUAAUGCACUCAGGAUAAACCAGAGUUUGAAAAAGCAAAUCUUUUUCAGAUAUAUAUUUAGGCAUAUAUUCUGGAUUUGGAGUUUUCACUAAUCCAUUUCUCUAUCAUUCACUUAUUGUAUCAUAUAAUUAAGAUACCCCAUUCAUGUUAUUGAACUGCCAUCAAUAUAUAUUUAUUCAUUAUCCCCAAAUCUGUCUUUUUCUUUUCUUCAAUAGUCAACAAUUCUCUAAAGUAGCAGUUCUGACUCUCCUAUACCCUCAAUUCCAUUUUGCCAAAUAUAACACAAAAAGAUAGCCUUUGUUAAAAAGUUUAAUGCUCUUAAUUAGUAGAAUUGUCGGACUAAUUAGAAUACCAAUUAGAAUUGGCAGGACUAUCGUUAAUUUAGAAGUGCUGUGGUCUAGUGUUAAUCACUAUUAAACCUUAUAGUUUGUGAAAGAGAGAGAGCAAGGAGAUGAAUGCACACACAUGCAACCUCCCUCCCCUCCCAUUUCAAAUGUUAAGGGUCCAUAAUCAUAAUGAUCUGUGCUGUCAAUGUGUACUUAGGGACUGUUGAAUCCAUGGAGACGUUGAUGCAAAGUUAACAACUGUUUAUGCACAAUAGUAGCAUUUCUGAAUAAGAACUGAACUUUUAUAUGUGUACUGCUACUAAAAUGGCAAAAUCCCAACAGUGGCUGGAAAAGAUACUUGGGUACUCAGGAUUCUUUAUCAGAAACGUGCAAGAGAAAUCCAUUUACUUUCGGUACUGUUAAAAUUGCUUGGAAUAUCGUACAGCACAUGGCAAAUAAAGAUCUUUCAGCACUGUACAAAGUGAAAUCAGGCUUUGGCGCCUACUGGUUCAGUAAGCUCACAGUAGCAUUUCAUAGCCAGAGCUAUCACUCAAAUUCCCACUGUCAGUCAGACGUACAAUGGGAAAUACUCUGAGAGCUCAGCAACUUUCAUUCUCCACAUCUUAUCCACAUGCACAUCUACCCUUCCCAUCGACCUAAUUCUAACUUCUAAGAAAAAAGAAGAGCAAAACAAUUUUAUUCCUCAAUCUCAAAUGAAAAUAAGGAUACUUCUAUUCAAACUGCAUACUUACAACAUCUGUUCCUGGCUGAAACCAUAUGAGAAAUGUUCCCGAAGGUGAAUACUGCAAAUAUUGUUGUGAAGUCCAUGAGCACCACUAUCCUUACACAGAAUCUAAUUUAUAUCCUCAAAUACUCAGAAGAAAAAGAGCGUUAAGGUGUCUAGAGUAGCACACAAUAGUCUGAUGUGAACAAGUCCCAAGCUCAAAAAUUACUUUCCACUUUGUGUUUGUUUUUUUUUUUCCUGGUUAUGCACUGCCUCCUGAAAUCAGUUACUGGUCGUCGAGGCAAAAGUGAUGGCGCUGAUUAUUAUUUACCUGGGGCAGUGGUGGCAAGAGCUAGUAGAGGAUGGACAGAGAGCAUGGUAGAAAAAAGUGAAACUGCUCUCUAUGGAGCAUGUGGAUAUCCUGUUCGUAAUGCCACACAGCAUUAAACAUUUUUCUGUUCCGCUCUAGCCUGAUUUAGCUUAAAUAUUUCUCUGUUUACAACACAGCUUGUCCACAGUUUGAUCAAACACAUCCAAACUCACUCAUGCUGCCUUUUCUAUUGCAGAGAAACCUAUAACUCAGUUUCAGAGAAUUCAGAUGUUUAAAUUGCAACUUGUUUAUGGUCAAGAAACUGUUGCUUUGUUCCCAUGGUACCAUCUUGCACACUAAGGCUUUAUUUAACCUCUGUUUAUGUAAAGCUACAAUAGAAUACGACAAGUAAGUAUGUCUUGGCUCUUGCAAAAAGAAAUUUGAAUCUGUUUUCUAUUAAAAAGAGAGAGACAGAGAGAGUGAUUUAAGAACCAGAUGCAAAAUUAUCCUGUAUUGCUCCUAUCUUGUUACUUCACAAAACUAAAUUUAAUUUUGU